AGGUUCGUCGUUUAGCUAUAUAAAUAGAAGCGAAUACACGAGAAAAUAAUUUAGUGAGGGUAAGGUCUUUCAUUGUCGUUUGCUGUUAUUUUCAUUGUCGUUUUUGUAUUCAGACCGAAACCCUAACUCUUCAUCGCAACCAUGUCGACCAAGCAAGGUGGAAAAGCUAAGCCUUUGAAGAAACCAAAGUCUGAUAAAAAGGAUUACGAUGAGGUUGACAUGGCUAACAUCCAAAAGAAAAAGGAUGAGGAGAAGGCCCUAAAGGAGUUGAAAGCUAAGGCACAACAGAAGGGAUCUUUUGGAGGAUCUGGACUCAAGAAAAGUGGAAAGAAAUAGAAGGGCUCUUUGUUAUGAUUUGAUACUUCCAUUAUUGAGCUCUGUAAUUACAAUUAUGACCAUGAGAACAUCUCUUAUUGUGUGGCCUUUUUAAUUGCUGAUGUUAGUACUGAACCAAGGCAUAUCAUGAUGAUGUAAAAGCAAUAAGUAACUUUGUUUGCAGCUUCAUUGUGUCUCCCUUUUGGGGUUAUGAUAAUUGCAUCUGUUUAGUGUUGUGGCUUUUGCGUAGA